rnacentral:rRNA from 1 species
UACGUAGGUGGCAAGCGUUGUCCGGAUUUACUGGGCGUAAAGAGCGCGCAGGCGGCUGGUCAAGUCCGAUGUGAAAUCUCCCGGCUCAACUGGGAAACUGCAUCGGAAACUGAUCGGCUUGAAGGUGGGAGAGGGUAGUGGAAUUCCCGGUGUAGUGGUGAAAUGCGUAGAGAUGUGGAGGAACACCGAUGGCGAAGGCAGCCCCCUGGGUUAACACUGACGCUCAGGCACGAAAGCGUGGGGAGCAAACAGG